AUUGAACGCUGGCGGCAUGCUUUACACAUGCAAGUCGAACGGUAACAGGUCUUCGGUUGCUGACGAGUGGCGCACGGGUGAGUAAUACAUCGGAACGUGCCUAGUAGUGGGGGAUAACUACUCGAAAGAGUAGCUAAUACCGCAUGAGAUCUACGGAUGAAAGCCGGGGACCUUCGGGCCUUGUGCUACUAGAGCGGCUGAUGGCAGAGUAGGUAGUUGGUGGGGUAAAGGCUUACCAAGCCUGCGAUCUGUAGCUGGUCUGAGAGGACGACCAGCCACACUGGGAGUGGGACACGGCCCAGACGCCUACGGGAGGCAGCAGUGGGGAAUUUUGGACAAAGGGCGAAAGCCUGAUACAGCAAUGCCGCGUGCAGGAUGAAGGCCCUCGGGUUGUAAAGUGCUUUUGUGCGGAACGAAAAGCCUGGGGCUAAUAUCCCCGGGUCAUGACGGUACCGGAAGAAUAAGCACCGGCUAACUACGUG
rnacentral:rRNA from 1 species